AACGAACGCUGGCGGCAGGCUUAACACAUGCAAGUCGAGCGCCCCGCAAGGGGAGCGGCAGACGGGUGAGUAACGCGUGGGAACAUACCCUUUGGUUCGGAAUAACUCAGGGAAACUUGAGCUAAUACCGGAUACGUCCGUAAGGAGAAAGAUUUAUCGCCAAAGGAUUGGCCCGCGUCCGAUUAGCUAGUUGGUGAGGUAACGGCUCACCAAGGCUACGAUCGGUAGCUGGUCUGAGAGGAUGAUCAGCCACAUUGGGACUGAGACACGGCCCAAACUCCUACGGGAGGCAGCAGUGGGAAUAUUGGACAAUGGGCGCAAGCCUGAUCCAGCCAUGCCGCGUGA
rnacentral:rRNA from 1 species